rnacentral:misc_RNA from 1 species
GAUGAAGAACGUAGCGAAAUGCGAAAAGUAAUGUGAAUUGCAGAAUUCAGUGAACCAUCGAAUCUUUGAACGCACAUUGCGCCCGCUGGAACUCCGGCGGGCACGCCUGUCCGAGCGUCAUUUCAACCCUCAGGCCCCCCUUCGCGGGCGGGCCUGGUGUUGGGGCCCGGCCGCUACCCUGCGGCCGUCCCCUAAAUUCAGUGGCGGCCUCGUCGUGAUCCCUUGCGUAGUAAUGCACCUCGCACCGGAGAGCGCCGUGGCCACGCCGUAAAACCCCCAAUUUUCAAUGGUUGACCUCGGAUCAGGUGGGAAUACCCGCUGAACUUAAGCAUAUCAAUAAGCGGAGGA